UACAGAGGUCUCAAGCGUUGUUCGGAUUCAUUGGGCGUAAAGGGUGCGUAGGCGGCGCGGUAAGUCGGGUGUGAAAUCUCUGGGCUCAACCCAGAGACUGCAUCCGAAACUGAAGAGCUUGGGUUCUGGAGGGGAAAGCGGAAUUCCUGGUGUAGCAGUGAAAUGCGUAGAUAUCAGGAGGAACACCGGUGGCGAAGGCGGCUUUCUGGACAGAUACCGACGCUGAGGCACGAAAGCUAGGGGAGCAAACAGG
rnacentral:rRNA from 1 species